GCCCGGAAGGGCGGGCGGCUGUUGGGUUGUUUGGUGUUAACACGAAUUAAAUAAGGAGGGGAGAGCGCUGGAUCCGGCGGCACGAGGGUGCAGAGUUCACUGUAAACAGGAGGGUGACGGGGCUGGUCAGGGAGGUGCAAAGCAACGAGAUAAUCUCCAAGGACAAUAACGAUAGACAGUGUAUGGAGUGAGAGUUGGCAUUUAGGCAUACUGAUCUGUGUGCUGUUGGAUGGUGCUGUGCAGUUUCUUUAACCCUCCAACCCUCCCCUCACAUCCUGUGUUGGAGCUCUGCGAUCUCCUUGCAGCAAGUCAUGCAGAACUAAUGGUGCCUCUCAUCCUUCAGCUCCUGCAGCGUGACAGAGGCAGCUGAGAUCCUAAUUAUGACUAAAAAUAAUGACUGCCAGCAAGCAAACAGCAGUGACAAUGACAGCUGGAACCGGGGACUUAGUUUGUAAAUAUAUAUAAUCAAAUGCACAUAUUGCUUAAAUGAACUUGCACGUGUGGGAGCCAAUGCUCACCAGCACUCCUGAAAUCAGGACUAAAGCACAGGUUUCAAUCCGAUACACACAGCUUUGCCAAGCUCUUUUGAUUUGCGUGUGAUGGCUUCAAGUAAGAGAACAGGAAAAUCAACAACGACGUUUAACUUAAAGGGGUGGGACACAGAAAUGAGGAAGUUUUCUUUCGUAAAGGAAAUGAAAAGGAGCGAGGUGCAGCCUCAGUGCACACACACAGAGCAGGCCCCAAGGUUUUGUGUUUCUUUGGUCCUCAGCAAGGUUAAAUACACAGCGACAGAAGAGACAAAGUUAUAAAUAAACAGAUCGGAGUGAGCUGUGCUAAGCUGCGUGAAGUAAGAAUAAGAAGAGGCCGGAUAAUUUGCUGCUAACUUUCAGAGCCUUCACGCAGCCUGUUUGCAGAUCCAUCAGGAGGGUGGAAAAACCUCAGACCGUGAGUUCUGUGAGGAGGUGGGAGGAUAUAAAUGGAGUGUGAAGGCAUUUCUCCCUCCUUAUGGUGUGUGUGCACUGGGCUGCCAGUAGAGCUGUUAUGUACCAGGCCUCACCUCGUUGCUGUGCCCAGAGCCACAGGUGUGAGCUGUUGGUUCCUCCUGGGGCUCCCAAAGGAGGCAGAUAAGCAGCGCAGCAGCCACGUCAGCUGCUCCAUGUUUGCUGUGCUGUCAGCGCUGUCCCUGCGUGCACUGCUGCACUCCUGGUGACCUUUGAAUGGCUGGGGAAAGUAAAAAUAGUGACUAAUA